ensembl:lncRNA
CCAACCAGCAUUGACCUCAAAGUCGGCGACGUUUAUUUUAACAUAACCAAUAUAUGCUGAGAUGGGACUGCUGACACCAAUAUUAUGUAGUAGCAUACGUAACUCUGUGUUUAAAUGUUAACGGGAGAUACUGUCUAAAACACAUCGCUGAGCAGCAGCUGCAUUAUCCCUGACACGUCCUCUUGCAGCUGUUCAUCAAAUGAGCCAGUUGUGAAAUUCAUCCUCCAAGCUUCUCUGCUGUUGUGCGAGCUGCAAAUCAAAAAUAGAAGUAUGUUGCGGCGUAUGUUAAUUUAUAUACACAAAGCUGCAUAGAUUAGUGUGCAUUAGGAGUUUUUUUGACAAAGGCAGCAGACUUCUUCCCAGAGAGUCAUGUACACACACGUACAGUUUGCUCAUUGUAUUUCCAGCACCACUCAUGUACUAAUGCUUCAUUCUGUUUUUUUACUUUGUGCCCAUGCAAAUUAUUGUUAAAGCCAUUAAGUCUACAAUUUAGUUUAUGUUAAGUAUAUGACAAAGUUAAAUGUAAUUGAAUCGACUCCAGCAAAGAGUCCAUUCAAAAUUUUCACAUCAAAUUUAACUUUGAUGAAAUCGACUCGUGCAAUUGCACAACUGACCACAACACCACAGCAUUUUUUUCAUUGUUCUGUUUUGGUUUGUUAACUCUUAGUAGACUGUGGGAAAGUGAACACAACAGGAGUGAAUGUCAUUUUGCAGUGUGAAUCUAUACUGGCUGCUGCUUUCAUGUUUUGCAUUUCUAUACAUAUAAAACUGUCUGUUUACUGGACCAGUGUGAAGUCUUCAAAAAUCAUUUGUGCAAUAUUCUCUAAUGUUCUAUAACAGUAUCAGAAGAAAAUCUGCAGUGUACAUAUUGUACGUGUAGAAACUAUCAUUGAGAAUCAAGAGCUAUAAUAAUGGGCUGUAAUAAUUUAUCGGUAUCUAAUUACUGUAUAUAGGAAUGUGUGACUCUACAGGUCAACAGAUUGAUGGAGAAGGCAGAAAGCAGAUUGCUUGUGAAUGUGCAAAGUGUUUCAGUGCACUUAGUGUUGUUUGACGUGCUGUUGGAAAAUACACAAAUCAAACACA